CCUUCGAAGGAAUUCCUGGAGGAAUCUUCGAAGGAAUUCCUGGAGGAACUUCUGAAGGAAUUCCUGGAGGAACUUCCGAAGGAAUUCCUAGAGGAACUUCCGAAAGAAUUCCUGAAGGAACUUCCGGAGGAAUUCCUGGAGGAACUUCUGAAGGAAUUCGUGGAGGAACUUCUGAAGGAAUUCGUGGAGGAACUUCCAAAGGAAUUCCUGGAGGAGCUUCUGAAGGAAUUCCCGGAGUAACCUUUCGGAUGAUUUGGAGACUCUAGAACAUCUGCGUUGGGCUUAUUUGAAUGAUGAAGCAUUCACAAGAGCUCUAAAGACUUAUAUGGACAUGCUGGGUUGCUAUCGGUUUAAUGUCAGUCGUAGUUGACCUGGUAGAUCAAUUGAAAUCAACUCCCGGACAAUUUAGGGACCCUAGAACAUCUGCGUUGGACUAAUUUGACUGGAUAUUAUUGGAUAUUAUUUGAAUUUUUUUAGAGAAUUAUUCCAGAUAUUUCGAAAGAGUUCUUCCAAUAAUCCCUGGAAGAUUCCUCCAGGUACUCAGAGAGAUACCCCUCUUACAUUUCGUGUGGAACCCUCCAAGAAUCUCUAGAUAAUUUCUUCAGGAAAACCGUGUGCCUUCAUGGCUUCCGAGAGAUUGCCACAACAAAUUUCGAGAGAAUUUCUCUAAUAAUGUAAAGAGAAUUCCUAAACGAUUUUCGUGAGCAUUCCUGCAGAAAUUCUGAUAGAAUUCCUUCUGAUAUUUUCAAAAAAUUAUUUCAGAUACUCUGAAAUAAUUCCAAGCAUCUCGAGAGAAUGCGUACAGGAAUUUAGUGAAAAUUUCUCCGGAAAUUCCGGAAUUCUGAAUUCGGAAUUCUCACGAUUUCCGAAGAAAUUCUCCUAGAACUCUUGAAUGAAUCCUCAAAGGAUACCAGAAGGAUUCGUCCCAGUUAUCACAAAGAUAUCCUUCCAGAAAUUUUGAAAGAAUUUAUUAAUUAAUCUAAAAAAACAAUAACUAGUUUCCACUUUGAAUUAUUUAUUAUCAGAAAUCGUUACUGAAUUUAAAAAAAAAACCUUCAUGGAAUUCAGUAGGAAAUCCCUUAUGAAAAAAAAAGGAUUCUCUCUCGAAUUUAGUAUGGAUCCCAAAAGGAUUCUAGAAACAAAACCGAAAGGACUAGCCUUAUUUGAUAGAGUUUUUCAGUGGCCGUGAAUUCUUUUAGUGACCGUAGAUAUUUAGUUUUAAUUUUCAUAACGAAUUGAAUCAAUAUAUACACCUAGGAUUAUUUUUAUUUAGGUUUUGCCAGUCUUGUCAAUCUCAUCGUCUCAAAUCAUCAUCGGAGAACUAGGCAUUCCGAAAAGAUGGAUCUUAUGAACCAAAUGGAUCAGGGCUGGAUUACGGUUCUGCUAUCACCUUCUACUACGCUGUAAGCCGAUCCCAAGCCCAAGCACACGAGGUUACCAUGGAGCAUAUCACGGCGGAUUAUGUGAUCAAUUAUGACCUACCCUAUCUUAAGUUAUUGCUAGAGGAAUUCGAGGACGCCAAACAAAUUUCAUAUUAAUCUUAGUAUCAAGGGCAUUAGAUUUCGACCCGAGGUUAUAGAGCUUAAUGAGAAAUUUAACCUCCGAGAAACAAUUGACGGAGGUGAUCGAGGUUCGUCUAGAGGAGCAAGUUGCUCAACUUUGAUAAUAAAAUGACCCCCAUUCCGUUCACGCAGGAUCCCCGCAUCAACAGAGCUAUGUGCUGAAAAGAAGCUAACUGGAAAGCUGUCCUUUCCACAGCAUGAAAGGAUUCAGAAUGGAAUCUAAAAUUGAUUCCACAAUAUGUGAUUUCGAAUGAGUAACGAAUGGAAUGACGAGUAUACCAAAUGGAAUUCUUACAGGAUUCCAUUCGUAAGCCAAUCGGUAUUCUAUUCUGAAUCUAUAUGUUUUUUCGCAAUUCUUCCGAGAUUUCAGUCGAAAUAUUUUUGGUACUCCAUUCAGAAUCCUUGCGGGAUUCCAAUCGCAAUUCUUCAGGGAUUAAAUUCAAAAUUCUUUAGGGGUUCUAUACAUAAUUUAAUUACAUAUCUUAUUAAUUUCCAUUCGCAUUCUACACAAUCAUUCCACGGAAUUCCAUUCAUAAUCCGUUCGGAGUUCUACACUUUGAGCACUUUUGUGGAAUUUUGAAAGUAUUUCUAAUGAUAUCCCGCAAUGAUUUCGAAUAGAAUACCAAGGGAAAUCCAUAAAGAAUUCCGAAUAGAAUCCCAAAAAUGGUUUCGAACGGAAUUCCAAAAGAAUUUCGGAUUUUAUCCCCACAGAAUUACCAACGGAAUUCCAAAUAAAAUACCGAACGACGAAAGGUUUCCUAAGGGAUUCGGAAAAAUAACUCGAGUGGAUUCCACAUGUGAUUCUAAAAUUAAUUCGAAUCGAACCCGGGAAGAAUUCCGAGUGGAAUCCAUUCGAGUUCUCAUUCAGAAUCUUUCCGUGAUUUCUUUCGAAGUUUCGUGGGAAUUCUAUUCGUACUCCUUUGGGGAGAAAAUUCGAAAUUCUUUUGGUAUUUGAUUCGAAAUAAUCGUGGGAUUUCAUUUGGAAUCAUUUUGAAAUUUCAUAGUGUGCUAUAGGGAAGUAUGGAGGCAAGAAAGAAGAAUGGAAUCCCACAAGGAUUACGAAUAAAAUCUCAAGAGGAUUCUGAUUGACUGAUGAAGCAGAUGAAAUAGCGAAAAGGUUUGGAAUGGAAUACCAAAAAGGUUACGAAUGAAAUUACGAAAGGAUAGCGAAUGGCAUCACGUGAGGUUUGUGAAUUGAACCCCAAGAUUAACCUUUUCGAUUUGGUAUUAAGAUUUCAUUAGCUAUCCUUUCGCAACUUAUUUUUAAAGAAAUCGGAACCUUUCAGAAUUCUAUUUCUCAUCCUUUGAGAAGUUUAUUCUCAAUACUUUAAGGAUCAACUUCGAAUUUACUGGUGAUUCCUUUCAAAACCAUUCUUGGGAAUCUGUUUGGAAUCCCCUAAAGAUUGUGUAGGGAUUCUAUCCGGAAACCUUUCGAGAUUCCACAAACAGUGCUUCAGCUUUUCGGUCUGAUUUUGUUUCAGGAUUUUAUUUGGAAUAAUUUCGAUGUUCCAAUUGAAUUUUUGUGAAUCCAUGCGCUUCCUGGAACUCCUUUCGGUAUACUUUCAGGAUUUCUUUCGGGAAUCCCGGGAAGGAUUUCGAAACGAACUCUCAAUGAAUUGAUGGAUUGUUCAAAUGCUAUUUGGAAAUAAUUAAUUAUUCCUAUUGAAAUCCUUAGGGAAUUUCCAAUAAUUUAUAGAAUCUUAACAUAUCUAAAUUCCAAUGCCCCUGCUGCCCCUACUCGAUUCCAUGGAGUUGGUAUAUAAUUCUCACAAUCUUUACCCAAUUUACGGGCGCAUUCCCGAGUAGAACUUGACUUGCUACUG